GGUACGUAUUUCUGUAUCCUCACCAGUUGCUUUGGCAGCAAAGGCAUGGAAGGAAGACAGCUGUUUUCCGCACUUCUGCUUAUCUCUACCUUUACGGUGUUGGAAUGCAAAGUGCCUCGUGUCGGAAAAGUUUAUAAUAUCAAAAAGUUUUUAUGGACGACAACACCCAUAUGGACGUACAGUACCACAUCAGGCAGCGACUGCUUGUGUCAAGUGGACGUAAUGAAGCGUGAAACUGCAAAAGACAUCACUUUCGUUCACUUAUUUUAUGACCACGAUCACCACAGGAAAAGCAUCCCAUUAGUUGGAGUUCUUGACAAAAAGGAUGUCGUGUAUGUCCACCCUCAUGGUGUUAGCUACAAAUAUAAAGAGGAAAUUUCGUAUUUUGAUAAAGUCGCAAAAUGUGCUGUGAUCCACGUCUUGUCAAUGUCUUCAUAUUACGGCAAUACCAACAGAUACGACCUGAGAGUUUGGAACUCAUCAAAUAUAGCCAUUUCGGCUCAACCGUGUCUUCAGGCAUUCACAAAAGUACCUUUUCAAGGACACGUCGUUUAUAAACCGAUGUGCCAUAAGAUACUUCACGAAAGUUCACCAAAGCUGGAUGUUAAAGGAAAACAAUCAUCAAUGCAGUUUUUUUGUAGCGACAGAGCAUGACCUAUAAACGUCAAUAUGGAACACCUAAUACAAGUACUUAGCACGCAAAAACUUAGCAUGGAAAUAUAUGUUACACAGUGGUGCAUAUUCUACGCUCAAACAAAGAGAAGAUCUUAUAGAGUAUAAUGUUAGGGAGACAUGAAAUAGCUAUAAAACAGUUUUAAAUAUGCAUAAAAAUAGUGUGCGAGAUACAUACGUGAAUAUAUUAGCAAAUAUCUACAAAGAUUCCACAGCUACCUUGGUUCUCCACAAGGAAACUAGAAAGUUACCUAUCAAGAAAGGGAUCAGGCAAGGAGACAAAAUCUUUUCAAUGCUGUCCACUGCAUGCUUACAAGAAGUAUUGAAGCCAUUAGACAGGGAAGGUUUAGGAGUGAGAAUUAAUGAGGAAUAUAUCAGCAACUUUCAGUUUGCAGAUGAAAUUGUCCUGUUCAACAACACUGGAGACGAAUUACAACAAAUGCAACAAAAACGAGAAAGUGUAAGAGUGGGGUUGAAGAUUAAUAUGCAGAAGACAAAGCUAAUGUUCAACAGUCUGGCAAGAGAACAAGUAUUCAGGAUCACCAGUUAGCCUCAAGAGUCUGUACAGGAGUACGUUUAACCAGUUCAAUUACUCACAGGGGCCCCUGAUCAUGAGAGUGAAAUUAACAGAAUAAAAAUGGGCUGGACUGCAUACGGCAGGCAUUGCCAAAUCCUGACUGGGACCUUACCACUGUCGUUGAAAACAAAAAAGUGUACAAUCAUUGCAUUCUACCGGUGCUAACAUAUGGGGCAGAAACUUAGAGGUUAACAAAAAAGCUCUGGAACAAGUUAAGGACCGCACAGAGAGCAAUGGAACAAAAAUGUGUGAGGCCUAACGUUAACACACAGAAAGACAGCGGUGUGGAUCGGAAAGCAAACGGGGAUAGCAGAUAUGCUAAUUGACAUUAAGAGUAAAAAAAUGAGCUGGGCAGGCCAUGUAAUGCGUAGGAUGGGUAUCCGGUGGACCUUUAGAGUCACAGAAUGGGUGCCAAGAGAAUGAAAGCGCAGUCGAUGCCUGCAAAAAACUAGAUGGGGUGAUGAAAUGAGGAAAUUGGCAAGUGGAAAUUUGAACCAGCUAGCGCAAAACAGGGGUAAUUGGAGAUCUCAGGAAGAUCAGGCUUUCGUCCUACAGUGGAGAUAAAAAUAGGCUGAUGAUGAUGAUAAUGAAAAUAGUUAUGAUAUCAGAAAUGUUGCCUUGAUAAAUCAUCGUUGGCUAAAAUAGAGGUUAGCCGUCGUACCGUAUUUGUAUCUUGUGCCGCACGGCCUAAAGAGGGUUCAAACCUGAUAUAACGUCGGUGUUGUGAUUUCUGCACAGCACUAGUUAUCUAGCAUCUGCCUACGUGUUCGAGGUAAGAUUUAAGGGCUCUUAGCAAGGUAGCUACAAUGUCCAGCACAAGUCGCGGUCAAUGACAUGUAAUACAUGCAUUUUACGUAAUCGGUCCUUAUUGUGUGAAUGGCGCUACAUAAGUCAAUCAUAAAGAUGUAUAAAUGCCAUAUAAAUGGAACACGAAAAUAGAAAAAAGAAUAACGAACCGACUCCCUUUAACCUGCACUGCCGUGCAAGCUGUCUAUGCAGAACUUACGUAAAACUAACAUCAUCGCGAGAAAUAAAGACAGUCUAACCCACAUGAUCAUUGAAGCUUACCACAUUCAGAAAGCACAAUGCAGAUGCAUCAGCCAUCCAUCAAUCGCAUAAACAGUAAAAGAAAUAAAGUAUUGUAACAACAGGCAAACGUGUUGAUCGUAUGUAAACUUGCUACGGUAUGGCAUGUGCAAAAUGCGUUUCUGUUGUUGCGAAUGAGUUUUUCAUCUUCUUUUGUAUGCAUGCACUGUGAUAAGUUUUCCAUAGAGAUGUCGCUAUGUUUUCAAAAAAAGGAAGGCUUGUGAGUGCCUUCCUGUCCAACGGCCUGCGUAGAAUUUGU